UUGUCUCCCGUUGCUACUCAAGUGGUUCUUGUCUUUUCUACCAACCAAUGGACCGUUUGUGGAUACUCAGAAUACUCACAAAUGGACUCAGAGGAUCAUGUCGCUUACAUCUUAUGAUAUCAAGUGGCAAGCUUAUAGGAUUAAUGUGCGUAACGUCAUUAUGAGUUGUGGAGAGUUUCACAAUGUUCCACUCAUAGGGACUAGAGGUUGCAUCAACUACAACCCGG
rnacentral:lncRNA from 1 species